rnacentral:tmRNA from 1 species
GGGGGCGACAUGGCUUCGACGCAGGUCGCAAAGCCCCAGGUGCAUGCCGAGGAUGUCACUCACCUCGUUAAUCAUGUGGCAAAAAAUAUAGUUGCCAACGACGACAACUACGCUCUCGCGGCGUAAAAAGCCGUGAGCCGCCCGGCACUGAUCGCCCGUGGUCGGUGUCAGGCGGUCAUAAUACACGGGCUAGCACUGGGGACGGCCCGGAUCCCCGGCGCGAACUCCUAGCGGGCUCGCUGGCCUCUACCCUUCCCGUCGGGUAGUUGCCGGUUAAAAUCAAAGACGCGGGAUAAGCAUGUAGACCCUGGGGUGGAGGUCCUGCGGACGCGGGUUCGACUCCCGCCGCCUCCACCA